UACGUAGGGUGCAAGCGUUGUCCGGAAUUAUUGGGCGUAAAGAGCUCGUAGGCGGUUUGUUGCGUCGGCUGUGAAAUCCCGAGGCUCAACCUCGGGUCUGCAGUCGAUACGAGCAAACUAGAGUGUUGCAGGGGAGACUGGAAUUCUCGGUGUAGCAGUGAAAUUCGUAGAUAUCGAGAGGAACACCGGUGGCGAAGGCGGCCAACUGGACGAAGACUGACGCUGAGACACGAAAGCGUGGGGAGCAAACAGG
rnacentral:rRNA from 1 species